rnacentral:SRP_RNA from 1 species
AGACUUAAUUCCUUUGUUGAGGGCGUAUUUUUGUGAAGUCUGCCCGAAGCACGUAGUGUUUGAAGAUUUCGGUCCUAUGCAAUAUGAACCCAUGAACCAUGUCAGGUCCUGCCGGAAGCAGCAUUAAGUGGAUACUCAUAAGUGCCGUAGGGUAGCCGAGAUUUAGCUGUCGACUUCGGUAACGUUUAUGAUAUGCGUUCGAUACAAAGGUGCAUGG